rnacentral:misc_RNA from 1 species
UCAAAACCCUAGCGUUGGAGUGCAGCCGCCUGGUGUGAGUGCACCGCCGGUUAUGGCAUCUGGUGCACCGGGAGCGGUUCCAGCGCCAACUCCCAUGAUGCAGUAUCAGUUUCCGCCAGGUCAGCCUCCAAAUCCGGCUUUGAGAACGUACGCUCCUAUGCCAAAUGGUUAUGGUGUCAUUUCUGGAGCUGUUCCUCAAGGGACCAUGCCACCACCUGGUGGGUUAUUCCUUCCCUUAUUCUUUCUCGCCUUUUUCAUUGCCCAUCCGUUUCCUUUACACCCUG